GCCAUUGCAGAGCACUCAUACUUCAUGCUGAGAUGAGGCAUCUGAUUUUGCAACUUAGCAGCUUUUCACCAACAAAGGAUCACAGCCCACUAGUUGGAGAUUGUAGUGAGGUUACCUCAGAAAAACCUUCCUCUUGCAAGUCACCAAACUCACCACUGGUACAAUUUAAAAG